rnacentral:rRNA from 1 species
AGCGAACGCUGGCGGCAGGCUUAACACAUGCAAGUCGAGCGCCCCGCAAGGGGAGCGGCAGACGGGUGAGUAACACGUGGGAACGUGCCUUUUGGUUCGGAACAACCCAGGGAAACUUGGGCUAAUACCGGAUAAGCCCUUACGGGGAAAGAUUUAUCGCCAAAAGAUCGGCCCGCGUCUGAUUAGCUAGUUGGUGGGGUAAUGGCCCACCAAGGCUACGAUCAGUAGCAGGUCUGAGAGGAUGAUCAGCCACAUUGGGACUGAGACACGGCCCAAACUCCUACGGGAGGCAGCAGUGGGGAAUAUUGGACAAUGGGGGCAACCCUGAUCCAGCCAUGCCGCGUGAGUGAUGAAGGCCUUAGGGUUGUAAAGCUCUUUUAGCAGGGAAGAUAAUGACGGUACCUGCAGAAAAAGCCCCGGCUAACUUCGUGCCAGCAGCCGCCGCAGUAA